GAAAGAGGUAUGAUUUGAGGAGGGUCAGGAUUAACCGAUUUAGAUUAGGCCCGACAACCCAGUAAGACAUUGAUAAUGGAAAAAAAUAUUAAAAGUAGCAGCGUUUGGGCCGGCCCAAUAAUUGGAUAACAGAGUUUAGACCAAGAGGUAAGCUCUAUCGCGAGAAACGUGCGACAGGCGACACCCCGUCUCUGGGUCGACGGCGACCGCCGUCGGCACUGCGGCGUCGAAGGUGACUGCCGCCGCCGCCGUCGGAUCGGCCUGAUCCUGCAUCGCCGCGAGCGACGCCGCCACCAGGUCGGCCCUGUCCUCCAUCGAGCGACCGCCGCCGCCACCAGAUCGGGCUAGUCCUGCAUCGCCGACGAGCUAUGCCGCCACGACGUCGAGGCCACUACCAAGUUCUACAUCGCCGCAACAUCUAGAGACGCCGCCAGCUAGCAGAGCUACCAAGUGGACAAUUGUUGGGAAGCCAGCAAUGAGCUACGCGCGGCCAGCGGCGGUCGUCCGGAGGGCGACAACGAGCUGCUAUGAGGUCGCCGACAAUCUGCUGGAGCCGGAGCUGCUGGGAGGUCGGCGACGAUCUGGUGGAGGCGGCAACGAACUACCGGAGGCUGGCAACGACCUGCUGGAGGCCAGCCACGAGCUUCUGUUUGUAGUCAAGAAUGUGGUGGCUUCUUGGGUUGGUCUGUUUUGACCCGUGAGGGCUAGCGCAGCUGACGUGCAAGAUAUUUCAUGGUGGCAAAGUAUUGAACGAUACUGUUGCAUGCAAUCAAUUUUAACAUACAACUAAUAGGUUUAUGUACAACAAUGGCUAGUUCUGAAACUUCAUAUAUAUGAUGGAUGUAUUAAAUAUGCGGACACACGAAGAUAAACGACUUUUUUGA